rnacentral:rRNA from 1 species
GCCUCUUGCAAUUAAGGUAUAAGAGGUCCUGCCUGCCCAGUGACAUUAAGUUUAACGGCCGCGGUAUUAUGACCGUGCAAAGGUAGCGUAAUCACUUGUCUUUUAAAUAAAGACCAGUAUGAAUGGCAAGACGAAAGUUCAACUGUCUCCCUAAAUUAAUCAGUGAAAUUGAUUUCUCCGUGCAGAAGCGGAGAUAAAAUUAUAAGACGAGAAGACCCUAUGGAGCUUUAAACAUAUAAUCAAUUGUAUUUCAUAAAAUCCGAAAGAUAAAGUAUAAAAUAAAACAAUAUGAUUAAAAUUUUAGGUUGGGGCGACCACGGAGAAAAACAAAACCUCCGAGAUGAAAAGAAUAUCUUAAUUUAAGAACCACAAUUCCAAAAAAUAAAAUAUUUAACAUAAUUGAUCCAAUAUUUUGAUCAACGAACCAAGUUACCCUAGGGAUAACAGCGCAAUCCUCUCCAAGAGUCCCUAUCGACGAGUGGGUUUACGACCUCGAUGUUGGAUCAGGACACCCCGAUGGUGCAGCCGCUAUUAAAGGUUCGUUUGUUCAACGAUUAAAGUCCUACGUG